rnacentral:rRNA from 1 species
GACGAACGCUGGCGGCGUGCCUAAUACAUGCAAGUCGAGCGGACCACUUCGGUGGUCAGCGGCGGACGGGUGAGUAACACGUGGGCAACCAGCCCGAAGGACUGGGAUAACACCGGGAACCCGGUGCUAAUACCGGUCAAUCCUUUCCUUCACAUGAGGGAAAGCUGAAAGACGGUUUCGGCUGACACUUUCUGAUGGGCCCGGGGCGCAUUAGCUAGUUGGUGAGGUAACGGCACAACAAGGCAACGAUGAGUAGCCGACCUGAGAGGGCGAACGGCCACACUGGGACUGAGACACGGCCCAGACUCCUACGGGAAGCAGCAGUAGGGAAUCUUCCGCAAUGGAGGAAAGUCUGACGGAGCAAAGCCGCGUGAGGGAUGAAGGCCUUCGGGUCGUAAAGCGCUGUUGUCAGGAAAGAACAAGUACCGGAGUAACUGCCGGUACCUUGACGGUACCUGAACAGAAAGCCACGGCUAACUACGUGCCAGCAGCCGCAGUAACAC